rnacentral:rRNA from 1 species
UACGGGAGGCAGCAGUGGGGAAUAUUGCACAAUGGGCGCAAGCCUGAUGCAGCCAUGCCGCGUGUAUGAAGAAGGCCUUCGGGUUGUAAAGUACUUUCAGUCGUGAGGAAGGUGUUAAGGUUAAUAACCUUAGCAAUUGACGUUAGCGACAGAAGAAGCACCGGCUAACUCCGUGCCAGCAGCCGCGGUAAUACGGAGGGUGCGAGCGUUAAUCGGAAUUACUGGGCGUAAAGGGCACGCAGGCGGUUAAUUAAGUUGGAUGUGAAAUCCCCGGGCUUAACCUGGGAAUGGCAUUCAAGACUGGUUAGCUAGAGUCUUGUAGAGGGGGUAGAAUUCCAUGUGUAGCGGUGAAAUGCGUAGAGAUGUGGAGGAAUACCGGUGGCGAAAGGCGGCCCCUGGACAAAAGACUGACGCUCAUGUGCGAAAGCGUGGGGAGCAAACAGGGAUUAGAUACC